AAUAUUAAAUCUUUAGCCAUGAAAAUACACAUAGUUUCCUUUCAAUUAACAGAAAUUGCCAAUUGUAGAGUACUUGCAGUAACGCAACGCAAGAAAAAGAGAUGAAUCGAAAAUUCGGCGGAGGGAAGCAGCCGACGGGAACUCCGUCGCUGGCAUGGUCGUCCGUCGUCGUAGUCGCGUCGCUACUCGCCGGCGCUUCCAUUGUGCACAACAUCUACAAGCCGAAUCUGAAACUCCCUCCAAUCGCAGACGUCGAUGAGCAUAAGCAAGAACAAGGGCAGAAGCUAUAAACCAUGCUUUCAAGAUUUUUUUAUUGAGCUUCAGAAUAAUAUUUCAAGUUGGAGAUUGGCUCAAAUGCUAAUGAAAUUUUGUUGAAGAUUUUAUUAGAUUUCUAUAUCAUUGAACAAUCUUGAAGAAACACUACUUAUUUAUUUUGGGCAUUAAACAGAAAUUAUUUUGCCAUUGGAUUA